UACGAAGGGUGCAAGCGUUAGUCGGAAUUACUGGGCGUAAAGCGUGCGUAGGCGGUUUUCUAAGUCUGCCGUGAAAGCCCCGGGCUCAACCUGGGAAUGGCGGUGGAUACUGGAAAGCUGGAGUGCGGUAGAGGGGGGUGGAAUUCCCGGUGUAGCGGUGAAAUGCGUAGAGAUCGGGAGGAACAUCAGUGGCGAAGGCGGCUUCCUGGCCUGUUCUUGACGCUGAGGCGCGAAAGCUAGGGGAGCAAACGGG
rnacentral:rRNA from 1 species